rnacentral:rRNA from 1 species
UACGGAUGGUGCAAGCGUUAUCCGGAUUCACUGGGUUUAAAGGGUGCGUAGGUGGGUUGGUAAGUCCGUGGUGAAAUCCCCGAGCUUAACUCGGGAACUGCCGUGGAUACUAUUAGUCUUGAAUAUCGUGGAGGUAAGCGGAAUAUGUCAUGUAGCGGUGAAAUGCUUAGAUAUGACAUAGAACACCGAUAGCGGAGGCAGCUUACUAAGCGAUUAUUGACACUGAGGCACGAAAGCGUGGGGAUCAAACAGG